CGGACGGGUGAGUAAUGUCUGGGAAACUGCCUGAUGGAGGGGGAUAACUACUGGAACGGUAGCUAAUACCGCAUAACGUCGCAAGACCAAAGAGGGGGACCUUCGGGCCUCUUGCCAUCGGAUGUGCCCAGAUGGGAUUAGCUAGUAGGUGGGGUAACGGCUCACCUAGGCGACGAUCCCUAGCUGGUCUGAGAGGAUGACCAGCCACACUGGAACUGAGACACGGUCCGG
rnacentral:rRNA from 1 species